rnacentral:rRNA from 1 species
GUCCACGCCGUAAACGAUGGAUGCUAGCCGUCAGGUAGCUUGCUAUUUGGUGGCGCAGCUAACGCUUUAAGCAUCCCGCCUGGGGAGUACGGCCGCAAGGUUAAACUCAAAGGAAUUGACGGGGCCCGGCCACAAGCGGUGGAGCAUGUGGUUUAAUUUCGACGCAACGCGAAGAACCUUACCAGCCUUCGACAUGCACCGGAAUGCCAGCAGAGACGUUGGCAGCCGCAAGGCCGGUGCACAGGUGUUGCAUGGCUGUCGU